CAGCAUGAAUUAACUUCGGUUAAUUUGAUGGCGAGUGGCGAACGGGUGAGUAACGCGUAGGAAUAUGCCUUAAAGAGGGGGAUAACUCGAGGAAACUCGAGCUAAUACCGCAUAAGCUCUACGGAGUAAAGUAUGGGACCUUCGGGCCAUGCACUUUAAGAAUAGCCUGCGUCCGAUUAGCUAGUUGGUGGGGUAAAGGCCUACCAAGGCGAUGAUCGGUAGCUGGUCUGAGAGGAUGGACAGCCACACCGGGACUGAGACACGGCCCGGACUCC
rnacentral:rRNA from 2 species